GUUUCAUAUACAGGAUUAUCCCAAGAACAGAUCCCAUCCUGUACAGCAGCUUUCUCUAGCUUCACCGUCGGCUUGCCAACAUCAUCAGGCACCAGAGAUAUUGUUAAGAGUUUCCUCGGAAGGCCACUGUCAUUGCUGUGCUUCCAAAAGAAGCAGCAAAUGCUGUUCUUGUCAAAGGCAACCGAAAUAUUCCAUCAUUAAUAGCGAAAGGAAAAAAUGUUUCUUGUUUCUCUCCAGCUGAGAGUAGAGGAAGUGCAAUCUGAGAUUUGAGUAUGGGCUUGCCCUCUGGCUCGGUUGAACUCAAUUACUGCAAUCCAGUGGACUAGGAAGGCUCAAGCUGGAGAGAGUUUUGGGAAUGAGGGACAAUCAAUGAUGACCCAGCUAAAGGCGAAAAGAUACCUUGCCUAAAACAAAUAAAGAAGCUUCUCAUCCGAAGCUCAACAGGAACACGGAAACCAACCAAAAAGAGUACAGUACAGCAGUUUUCCAGGUAUGAGUUCGAUUUGCUGUUAUGCUCAAGUCCUGGCCCUACACUUCCAUGGCCAUGUCCCCACUCUCUUAUCUGGAAAAGAUGUUUUUUUUUUCUAUCGAGCUGCCUUGUCAGAUAACACUGCAAAGCAUCUAUUUCGGGUCGCAAUAAAGAAAUAAUAUGUUAAUAUAUUCAAGAUCUGAUUCCCCUA